rnacentral:rRNA from 1 species
CCUACGGGAGGCAGCAGUGAGGAAUAUUGGUCAAUGGGAGAGAUCCUGAACCAGCCAAGCCGCGUGAGGGAAGACGGCCCUAUGGGUUGUAAACCUCUUUUGUCGGAGAACAAAACCCGGGACGUGUCCCGGACUGCGUGUAUCCGAUGAAUAAGCAUCGGCUAAGUCCGUGCCAGCAGCCGCGGUAAUACGGAGGAUGCGAGCGUUAUCCGGAUUUAUUGGGUUUAAAGGGUGCGUAGGCGGUCCGUUAAGUCAGCGGUAAAAUUGCGGGGCUCAACCCUGUCGAGCCGUUGAAACUGUCAGACUUGAGUAUGCGAGAGGUACGUGGAAUGCGUGGUGUAGCGGUGAAAUGCAUAGAUAUCACGAAGAACUCCGAUUGCGAAGGCAGCGUACCGGCGCCAGACUGACGCUGAGGCACGAAAGCGUGGGGAUCGAACAGGAUUAGAUACCCUGGUAGUC